CAUGUACUCCCUCCGUCCGGAAAUACUUGUCGGGGAAAUGGAUACCUGACAAGUAUUUCCGGACGGAGGGAGUACUAC
rfam:Triticum aestivum genome assembly, contig: Triticum_aestivum_CS42_TGACv1_scaffold_020601_1AS